rnacentral:rRNA from 1 species
GAUGAACGCUGGCGGCGUGCCUAAUACAUGCAAGUCGAGCGAACAGACGAGGAGCUUGCUCCUCUGACGUUAGCGGCGGACGGGUGAGUAACACGUGGAUAACCUACCUAUAAGACUGGGAUAACUUCGGGAAACCGGAGCUAAUACCGGAUAAUAUAUUGAACCGCAUGGUUCAAUAGUGAAAUACGGUUUUGCUGUCACUUAUAGAUGGAUCCGCGCCGCAUUAGCUAGUUGGUAAGGUAACGGCUUACCAAGGCAACGAUGCGUAGCCGACCUGAGAGGGUGAUCGGCCACACUGGAGCUGAGACACGGUCCAGACUCCUACGGGAGGCAGCAGUAGGGAAUCUUCCGCAAUGGGCGAAAGCCUGACGGAGCAACGCCGCGUGAGUGAUGAAGGUCUUCGGAUCGUAAAACUCUGUUAUUAGGGAAGAACAAAUGUGUAAGUAGCUGUGCACGUCUUGACGGUACCUAGUCAGAAAGCCACGGCUAACUACGUG